CCUUACACAUGCAAGUCGAACGGUAACGCGGGGGCAACCCUGGCGACGAGUGGCGAACGGGUGAGUAAUACAUCGGAACGUACCCAGUAGUGGGGGAUAGCUCGGCGAAAGCCGGAUUAAUACCGCAUACGACCUAUGGGUGAAAGCGGGGGAUCGCAAGACCUCGCGCUAUUGGAGCGGCCGAUGUCGGAUUAGCUAGUUGGUGAGGUAAAGGCUCACCAAGGCUACGAUCCGUAGCUGGUCUGAGAGGACGACCAGCCACACUGGGACUGAGACACGGCCCAGACUCCUACGGGAGGCAGCAGUGGGGAAUUUUGGACAAUGGGCGAAAGCCUGAUCCAGCCAUGCCGCGUGUGUGAAGAAGGCCUUCGGGUUGUAAAGCACUUUUGUCCGGAACGAAACGGCGAGGGCGAAUAUCCCUCGUUAAUGACGGUACCGGAAGAAUAAGCACCGGCUAACUACGUGCCAGCAGCCGCGGUAAUACGUAGGGUGCAAGCGUUAAUCGGAAUUACUGGGCGUAAAGCGUGCGCAGGCGGUUCCGCAAGUCAGAUGUGAAAUCCCCGGGCUCAACCUGGGAACUGCAUUUGAAACUACGGGGCUAGAGUGUGUCAGAGGGGGGUGGAAUUCCACGUGUAGCAGUGAAAUGCGUAGAGAUGUGGAGGAACACCAAUGGCGAAGGCAGCCCCCUGGGAUGACACUGACGCUCAUGCACGAAAGCGUGGGGAGCAAACAGGAUUAGAUACCCUGGUAGUCCACGCCCUAAACGAUGUCAACUAGUUGUCGGGUCUUAAUUGACUUGGUAACGCAGCUAACGCGUGAAGUUGACCGCCUGGGGAGUACGGUCGCAAGAUUAAAACUCAAAGGAAUUGACGGGGACCCGCACAAGCGGUGGAUGAUGUGGAUUAAUUCGAUGCAACGCGAAAAACCUUACCUACCCUUGACAUGUCUGGAAUCUCGAUGAAAGUCGAGAGUGCUCGAAAGAGAACCAGAACACAGGUGCUGCAUGGCUGUCGUCAGCUCG
rnacentral:rRNA from 1 species